GGUUUUGGUUUUUGGAGGACUUUCAUGAUUAGGCAUCUUGAAGAGAUCUUUGAGCAUAACCUUAACUUGGUUUUUAGGUGAUCCAACACCUUCGGCUUUGUUACUGGAACUCAUCUUUUUCUUAGUUCCAGCCUCUUCGUAACCUAAACCCGCAAGAAAAUAUAUAAUCAGCUUUCAUACAUUUUAUAUUCAUUUCAACAUAUCCUCCACCAUAAAUAAAACCACAGAUUACCUUUUCUUUCAAACUCGUCGUGUAAUAAUGAACUUUUAACUUGUUGUUUCUCCGCGUAUAAAUCUUUAUUUGGGAAGCCAGAAUUUUGCAUAUUGUCAAUUGAUAGUACACUAACUUUACUACUUCCAGGAUGUGUGCCUUGAUGAAGAGACAUAAGUGAUGGUACUCCUACAUUGGCCCAUUUGUGCAUAGAAAAGUGAAAGUCAAUGCCUGAAGAACCUGUUCUAGCCUUUGACUUGUGGUCAUCUGUGGAUCGUGUCGAGUAUACUGACUCCUUACUAGAUUUUUUAUUUUUGAACAGCCACUCCUUACUUGAUGAUUCACGGGUUAACAACGUUUGACCAGCAGAUCGACAUGAAUUGUUUCUGAGAAUUUGUGUUGAUGGGCUUGAAAAUCUAUAUGGAUGGUUAUUCUGUGUAUGCACACUUGAACCAAAUACAGGAGUGUCUACAGCUUUGGUCAUCUUGGUAGGCAAGCUGAUGAAUCCAAAACCAAGUGCCAGUACCUUGGAGAACUCCAUCGGACACUCUCGUCAGUACUUGUCCUGAAAACAUCAUGAUCAUUUGGCUCCCCGAAAACCAUGGU
rnacentral:lncRNA from 1 species